rnacentral:rRNA from 1 species
UAGGUGAACCUGCGGAAGGAUCAUUGUCGAAC